GAUGAACGCUGACAGCAUGCUUAACACAUGCAAGUCAACUUGAAUUUGGGUUUUUAACUUAGGUUUGGGUGGCGGACGGGUGAGUAACGCGUAAAGAACUUGCCUCACAGCUAGGGACAACAUUUGGAAACGAAUGCUAAUACCCAAUAUUAUGAUAAUAGGGCAUCCUAUAAUUAUGAAAGCUAUAAUCGCUGUUAGAGAGCUUUGCGUCACAUUAGCUAGUUGGAGAGGUAACGGCUCACCACGGCGAUGAUGGGUAGCCGGCCUGAGAGGGUGAUCGGCCACAAGGGGCCAGAGACACGAGCCUUACUCAUACGGGAGGCAGCAGUGGGGAAUAUUGGACAACGGACCGCGAGUCUGAUGCAGCUAUUCUGUGUGCAAGAUGAAGUUUUUCGGAAUGUAAAGUGCUUUCAGUUGGGAAGAAACAAAUGACGGUACCAACAGAAGAAGUGACGGCUAAAUACGUG
rnacentral:rRNA from 1 species